rnacentral:rRNA from 1 species
UACGUCCCUGCCCCUUUGUACACACCGCCCGUCGCUACUACCGAUUGAAUGGCUCAGUGAGGCCUCCGGACUGGCUCGAAGAGGUUGGCAACGACCACUUCGAGCCGGAAAGUUCGUCAAACUCGGUCAUUUAGAGGAAGUAAAAGUCGUAACAAGGUUUCCGUAGGUGAACCUGCGGAAGGAUCAUUACCUAGAGUUGUAGGCUUUGCCUACCAUCUCUUACCCAUGUCUUUUGAGUACCUUCGUUUCCUCGGCGGGUCCGCCCGCCGAUUGGACAAACUUAAACCCUUUGUAAUUGAAAUCAGCGUCUGAAAAAACAUAAUAGUUACAACCUUCAACAACGGAUCUCUUGGUUCUGGCAUCGAUGAAGAACGCAGCGAAAUGCGAUAAGUAGUGUGAAUUGCAGAAUUCAGUGAAUCAUCGAAUCUUUGAACGCACAUUGCGCCCCUUGGUAUUCCAUGGGGCAUGCCUGUUCGAGCGUCAUUUGUACCUUCAAGCUCUGCUUGGUGUUGGGUGUUUGUCUCGCCUUUGCGUGUAGACUCGCCUUAAAACAAUUGGCAGCCGGCGUAUUGAUUUCGGAGCGCAGUACAUCUCGCGCUUUGCACUCAUAACGACGACGUCCAAAAAGUACUUUUUACACUCUUGACCUCGGAUCAGGUAGGGAUACCCGCUGAACUUAAGCAUAUCAAUAAGCGGAGGAAAAGAAACCAACAGGGAUUGCCCUAGUAACGGCGAGUGAAGCGGCAACAGCUCAAAUUUGAAAUCUGGCGUCUUUGGCGUCCGAGUUGUAAUUUGCAGAGGGCGCUUUGGCAUUGGCAGCGGUCCAAGUUCCUUGGAACAGGACGUCA